rnacentral:rRNA from 1 species
AUAGCGUAUAUUAAAGUUGUUGCAGUUAAAAAGCUCGUAGUUGAACUUCAGACCUGGCUGGGCGGUCCGCUUAACGGCGUGUACUGUCUGGCUGGGCCUUACCUCUUGGUGAGCCGGCGUGCCCUUUAUUGGUGUGUGUCGGGGAACCAGGACUUUUACCUUGAGAAAAUUAGAGUGUUCAAAGCAGGCAAUUGCCCGAAUACAUUAGCAUGGAAUAAUAAAAUAGGACGUGCGGUUCUAUUUUGUUGGUUUCUAGAGUCGCCGUAAUGAUUAAUAGGGAUAGUUGGGGGCAUUGGUAUUGAGUCGCUAGAGGUGAAAUUCUUGGAUUGACUCAAGACCGACUAUUG